rnacentral:tRNA from 1 species
GGGAGGAUGCCCGAGUGGAAAGGGUCCCGCGGUGAAAGCGGAGGACUGGCGUAACAGCCGACGUGGGUUCGAUUCCCACUCCUGCCG